UAGUGGAAUUUUGAACUGCUCUAUCGAAUCAUGAUUGCUUGUUGUCGUCUGCCUUAUUGACUUAUUUCCGCGUGGCGUGCUUUAUUGAACUUGUUGGUUGGUUAAAAUGGUUAUGACCGAAGAAAAGAAACUUGAGUUGAUUUCUUUAUGACCAUUCCAUGAAAUAUUUGUUGUUAAGACUAUGUGAAAUGGAAAGAUUAGAAAAAAACGGACAUAGACAAACAGUAAAUUAAUUUUUUAAGAUUAAAUUCUGUUGGUUUGGGUACAAAGUGCAUUAACAAAACGUUGAGAAAACAGCAAGUUUUUCUGUUGGAUGUUGGUUAGUUUAUUAAAUUUUCAUUUAUUAAUUAACAGAUAACAGAUUAUGCACACAUUAUGCAGGGAAAGGGAAUUUUUGACACAGACCUGUCAUUACAAAGUCCAAAACUACUUUAGCGUAAGGGCUGGAAGACCUGUCAAUUGAAGAAUGUCAAAAUUGUCGGAGAUAAAAAAAAGAAAACAGAAGAUGGAUGGUGACGUCUCUUACUAAAAGAUACAACACAGAAGAAUAUUGUUGAGUCUGGACCUUACCCCAACAAGGAUGGUGAAGGAGUCUUGUCCUGUCCUAUUUUCCAAUUGUUGACUCUCUAAAAAGAACAUCCCAAUGGAGAAGAACAUAUCUAAAAAGUUACAUGUCAGCAGUUUUCAGCUGCAAUGUUGUGGACAGAUCAAGCUGAAUUAUUCACAUCCAAAACAUCAAACAAAGAAAAAGUGAAUCAUAUAGUUGGAAAAUGUUUAGUGACUGUAUUCUAGGUAAUUGAAUUUGUACAAAUUUCUAUUUUCUAAGCUAAUAAAACUGUCUUUAUCUUUUGUGAUAACAAAUAAGCUAGGUGCAUUAUCUACGUUAUCUCCAAUAAAACCGAAUUAGGUCAAGA